CGGGAUGUAGCGCAGCUUGGUAGCGCACUUGCCUUGGGAGCAAGGGGUCGCAGGUUCGAAUCCUGUCAUCCCGACCA
rnacentral:tRNA from 1 species